rnacentral:rRNA from 1 species
GACGAACGCUGGCGGCGUGCUUAACACAUGCAAGUCGAACGGAAAGGCCCUGCUUUUGUGGGGUGCUCGAGUGGCGAACGGGUGAGUAACACGUGAGUAACCUGCCCUUGACUUUGGGAUAACUUCAGGAAACUGGGGCUAAUACCGGAUAGGAGCUCCUGCUGCAUGGUGGGGGUUGGACAGUUUCGGCGGUUGGGGAUGGACUCGCGGCUUAUCAGCUUGUUGGUGGGGUAGUGGCUUACCAAGGCUUUGACGGGUAGUCGGCCUGAGAGGGUGACCGGCCACAUUGGGACUGAGAUACGGCCCAGACUCCUACGGGAGGCAGCAGUGGGGAAUAUUGCACAAUGGGCGGAAGCCUGAUGCAGCAACGCCGCGUGCGGGAUGACGGCCUUCGGGUUGUAAACCGCUUUCGCCUGUGACGAAGCGUGAGUGACGGUAAUGGGUAAAGAAGCACCGGCUAACUACGUG